AGGGCUCAUUUUCAGUCUGAUCCAACGGUGGCACCAGGAAUCCUGAGAAUGCACUUCCAUGAUUGUUUUGUACUAGGUUGUGAUGGUUCUAUCCUCAUUGAUGGUUCAGACGCUGAGAGAACUGCUAUUCCAAACAGAAAUUUGAAAGGAUUCGACGUUAUUGAGGAUGCUAAGACCCAAAUUGAAGCUAUCUGUCCUGGAGUUGUUUCAUGUGCUGAUAUUCUUGCUCUUGCUGCUCGUGAUUCCGUUGUUGCGGUAAGAACAUCUCCCGAAUAGAAAUUUGAAAGGAUUCGACGUUAUUGAGGAUGCUAAGACGCAAAUUGAAGCUAUCUGUCCUGGAGUUGUUUCCUGUGCUGAUAUUCUUGCUCUUGCUGCUCGUGAUUCCGUUGUUGUGGUAAGAACAUCUCCCCCAUUGUCUUAUAUAUUUUACGCUUCUUAUUAUAUGUGUACACGCACACUUAUCUAAACGUAUAUUUCCUCGGUUCCAACUUAUGCGACCAUGCAUGAACGGUAAAUAGUUUGUAUGGUCCCAUGCAUGUAUCCAUAAUAUAGUUUUACUUCUACACAUUAAAAAUGAC
rnacentral:lncRNA from 1 species